UACGAAGGGGGCUAGCGUUGUUCGGAAUUACUGGGCGUAAAGCGCGCGCAGGCGGCUAUCCAAGUCAGUGGUGAAAGCCCGGAGCUCAACUCCGGAACUGCCAUUGAAACUGUUUAGCUUGAGGACGAGAGAGGUGAGUGGAACUCCUAGUGUAGAGGUGGAAUUCGUAGAUAUUAGGAAGAACACCAGUGGCGAAGGCGGCUCACUGGUCCGGUACUGACGCUGAGGUGCGAAAGCGUGGGGAGCAAACAGG
rnacentral:rRNA from 1 species